rnacentral:rRNA from 1 species
UACGUAGGUGGCAAGCGUUGUCCGGAAUUAUUGGGCGUAAAGCGCGCGCAGGUGGUUUCUUAAGUCUGAUGUGAAAGCCCACGGCUCAACCGUGGAGGGUCAUUGGAAACUGGGAAACUUGAGUGCAGAAGAGGAAAGUGGAAUUCCAAGUGUAGCGGUGAAAUGCGUAGAGAUUUGGAGGAACACCAGUGGCGAAGGCGACUUUCUGGUCUGUAACUGACACUGAGGCGCGAAAGCGUGGGGAGCAAACAGG